rnacentral:lncRNA from 1 species
CUCCCCUCCCCAGUCCUCUCCACUUUCCAUCUCCCACCCCUCGCCUUCCUCCCGCCUCCUUCUCCUCCCCACUCCCUCUCCUUCUCUCCUCCUUCUCCCUCCCCCCUUCCCCUCCUUCUCCUCCCUCUCCCUCCUCUUCUUUCCCCCUUCUUCCCCCUCCCGCUCCUCUCCCUCCCUCUCCUUCUCCCCCUCCUCCUCCCUCCCUCUUCUCCCUUCCUCCCCCGACUCCUUCUCUCCUCCCUUCUUUCUCCCCUCCCCAUCACCGCUCUUUUUGGUGUGUUGCUCACUUUCUCCUCAGUUUGUCCAAACACUUUCAGUUUUCACUUUCAGGAAGUGUUGAGGUCCACACCCAACUCAGGCUCUCCAUCCCUGAGGGGAAGCACGUGGCUGUCCCCUUUCGGUGGAUUUCAAGCAUCCCUGGCGCAGGUGCAGCGGCCUUGCCCUGGGCUCACCAGCAGCCUUUGGGGUCCCAGUUGGCAGGCAGCCCUGUUCCCUGGGGGUCCCUGCCGGAGCUGCUGGUCCCUGGAGCUACCCCGUGGUACGGUUCAUCUGGACCAGCCUCUGAUGUGGGGAAGACCAAGCGAGAGCACACUGCGGAGACUUAUUUUGCCACAGACCUACAGAGACCAGACUUCAAGAUGUUCCUGUGGACAGGAAUUUACACAAAAAACCAGAUUAAAUUCUCCUGUGUUUUCUUUUGGAAAUGGGAUGGAAGUGAAAACAAAAUGUUGUUCUACCAUAUAUCAAGAUGAGGGCUGAUAUUCUGUCCAGAGCUUAAGAUGAGGGAAUGGACAGAUGAACAGAUAAACCAAGAAGAGACACCACAUUCUCUGGCAGAGGAGCUCUACAAAGUG